GAUGAACGCUGGCGGCGUGCCUAAUACAUGCAGGUCGAGCGAAUGGAUUAAGAGCUUGCUCUUAUGAAGUUAGCGGCGGACGGGUGAGUAACACGUGGGUAACCUGCCCAUAAGACUGGGAUAACUCCGGGAAACCGGGGCUAAUACCGGAUAACAUUUUGAACCGCAUGGUUCGAAAUUGAAAGGCGGCUCCGGCUGUACCUUAUGAAUGGCCCCGCGUCGCAUUAGCUAGUUGGUGAGGUAACGUCUCACCAAGGCAACGAUGCGUAGCCGACCUGAGAGGGUGAUCGGCCACACUGGGACUGAGACCCGGCCCAGACUCCUACGGGAGGCAGCAGUAGGGAAUCUUCCGCAAUGGACGAAAGUCUGACGGAGCAACGCCGCGUGAGUGAUGAAGGCUUUCGGGUCGUAAAACUCUGUUGUUAGGGAAGAACAAGUGCUAGUUGAAUAAGCUGGCACCUUGACGGUACCUAACCAGAAAGCCACGGCUAACUACGUGCCAGCCGCCGCGGUAA
rnacentral:rRNA from 1 species